UGUCUGUACUUGAAAAUAGUAUGAAUGGUUUUGUUUAAGCACAAUUUCAUCAUUAAUUUUUUUUUCAAACAGAAGUUAUUUGAUUGUUUCUGUAUAAGGAUGGUGUCAAAGUCCUUGACAGCUUUGUUAUGUAGAACAAUGGGGCGUUUCAUUUCAAGAAGGCCGUCAGCUGAACUUUCACAGAGGUCAAACACUAACCUGUCUGGACUGGCUCCAACUUGUGGAUUUUCAGAACUGACCCAAAACACAGUCUUCUGCAAGAUACAACCUUGUACUGAACUUUUCGUUCUGGAUUCAUAGUCCAGAAAUGCUUUAUUUUCAUUUUGGAUCCCAUACUGCAUACUUUUCAUGUGCACUAGUUCCUCCCACAAUUUCUAUUUGAGAAAAUUGCUAACAUAUCUGACAGAUUUAAUGUUUCGCAAUUGUUUUGCUGUCAGAUGCUGUUAUACGUACUCUCCUUUCAUUAAACCAGUUUAAAGUACAUUGAGCACUGACAAUUUCAGUUGGAGAUUCUACAUUAGCGGUUGAAACUGACAUGAAAUUAACACAUUUCGUCACACUUCCUUUUUAAUUUUCUUUUGCAUUACUAUCUAAACUGUAAUCGCUAUACUGUCUGUAAAGCAAUGACUCCCACAUUGUCAGUUUACCAGUCUGCUGCUUUCUAUUGCAGUUUUAAAGUUUGCUAUUACUUCUUGUAUAUGCUGAUGCUGCUUGUAUAGUUGGUGUAGGGUCGUAGUGAAUAAUUCUAUAGAUCCACUUCCCUUUUUAGCUCACAUGUCACAAAGUGACAGUGUGAGCUUUUGUGAUCGCGCAGCGUCCGUCGUCCGUCCGUCCGUCCGUAAACUUUUGCUUGUGACCUCUCUAGAGGUCACAUUUUUCAUGGGAUCUUUAUGAAAGUUGGUCAGAAUGUUCAUCUUGAUGAUAUCUAGGUCAAGUUCGAAACUGGGUCACGUGCGGUCAAAAACUAGGUCAGUAGGUCUAAAAAUAGAAAAACCUUGUGACCUCUCUAGAGGCCACAUUUUUCACAAGAUCUUCAUGAAAAUUGGUCAGAAUGUUCAUCUUGAUGAUAUCUAGGUCAAGUUCGAAACUGGGUCACGUGACAUCAAAAACUAGGUCAGUAGGUCAAAUAAUAGAAAAACCUUGUGACCUCUCUAGAGGCCAUAUUUUUCAUGGGAUCUGUAUGAAAGUUGGUGUGAAUGUUCAUCUUGAUGAUAUCUAGGUCAAGUUCGAAACUGGGUCAGCUGCGGUCAAAAACUAGGUCAUUAGGUCUAAAAAUAGAAAAACCUUGUGACCUCUGUAGAGGUCAUACUAUUGAAUGGAUCUUCAUGAAAAUUGGUCAGAACGUUCACCUUGAUGAUAUCUAGGUCAAGUUUGAAACUGGGUCACGUGCCAUCAAUAACUAGGUCAGUAGGUCAAAUGAUAAAAAAACCUUGUGACCUCUCUAGAAGCCAUAUUUUUCAUGGGAACUGUAUGAAGGUUGGUCUGAAUGUUCAUCUUGAUGAUAUCUAGGCCAGGUUCGAAACUGGGUCAACUGUGAUUAAAAACUAGGUCAGUAGGUCUAAAAAUAGAAAAACCUUGUGACCUCUCUAGAGGCCAUAUUUUUCACAAGAUCUUCAUGAAAAUUGGUCAAAAUGUUCACCUUGAUGAUAUCUAGGUCAGGUUUGAAACUGGGUCACGUGCCGUCAAUAACUAGGUCAGUAGGUCAAAUAAUGAAAAAACCUUGUGACCUCUCUAGAGGCCAUAUUUUUCAUGGGAUCUGUAUGAAAGUUGGUCUGAAUGUUCAUCUUGAUGAUAUCUAGGUCAGAUUCAAAACUGGGUCACAUGAGCUCAAAAACUAGGUCACUAUGUCAAAUAAUAGAAAAAAAACGACGUCAUACUCAGUUCAAAACUGGGUCAUGUUGGGACAGGUGAGCAAUUCAGGACCAUCAUGGUCCUCUUGUUUUUAAACUGUUUAGGUUUACUUGUGAACUGUUUUGCAGAUUCUUUUUCUUUGUGCGUCCUUUGUUCCAUUCACACAAUUUGGAUGUGCUAGAACUGGAUCAGUACCAUAUUUUUCAAUGUAAUCCUUUAAUGCCAAGAGAACGGCUGUUACAUGUGAACAUCUCCCCAUUCUGCUUGAUGCACAAGUACAAGAACCUUCUUUAACCUUUAGCCUGCUAGCGGCAAGUGAUUCUGCCUUUGCGACCAGUGCAGACCAAGAUCAGCCUGCACAUGAGUCUGAUCAUGGUCUGCACUGUUUGCUAUAUAAGUCAGUAAAUUUUCAGUAAAUACCCCUUCGAAUGAUAAAUGGUACUGCCCAAAUUGUAUAAUGGACCAGUCCAUUGUAGAACUUUAGCAGGGUAAGGGUUAAUAAAACCACUUCCUUGACUUAUCUGGAUCAGAACAUUGUAAUCAGUUGCUGUAUUAUAUGAAGCAAGAACUACAGCUUUUAGGAAGUAUAUUAGCACCAUAUUUUCAUGGCAAUCAGCAUACAUUCUGAGAAUGCAUAUUUUUCCAAAUUGUUACAUAUAUAUUCUGGAUUUGUGUGUGUGUUUUAAUACCGAAAUAAGCAGACGCAUAGGAGGCAUUCAUAUUACACUUAAGGUUACUGACUGCCCAGCAUUGAGUAAAUUACUGUGAGUAUCAGUCUUGUUCUUAACAUCCAUUUAAUAUUUGACUGUUGUGUUGGUUUCAUUUCCAGUGCACCUCUAUGCCUUUUGACAAUUUGUCGUAAUAAAUUUGACGUCAGAAAAAUAAACUGUUGUAUGAUAGUAGAAAAUUUUCAGCAGUCUUUUAUUAAUAUGAGAAAGAAUCUGUUUGAGUUAGAAUUAACCAUCCAGUACAUUUUUAUGCCCCCACUUUGCGGGGGGGUGGGGCAUAUAGAUUUGCCCUUGUCCGUCCGUCCUUCAAUCCGUCCGUCCUUCCGAGAAUAUUGUGUCGCGCCUAGCUCCAAAAGUAUUUGACGUAGAGUCACAAAACUUUACAGGAAUGUUGGUCAGCAUGUGUAGUUGUGCACCUGGGAUUUCGCAUCCGGAUUCAUUCAGUUGUGUAGGAGUUAUGGCCCCUGACUUUGUAAAAAUUGGUCAUUUUAGUGUUGUGUCGCACCUAGCUCUAAAAGUAUUUGACGUAGAGUCACAAAACUUUACAGGAAUGUUGGUCAGCAUGUGUAGUUGUGCACCUGGGAUUUCGCAUCCGGAUUCAUUCAGUUGUGUAGGAGUUAUGGCCCCUGACUUUGUAAAAAUUGGUCAUUUUAGUGUUGUGUCGCACCUCGCUGCAUAAGUAUUUGACGUAGAGUCACAAAACUUUACAGGAAUGUUGGUCAGCAUGUGAAGUUGUGCACCUGGGGUUUCGCGUCAGGAUUCAUUCAAUCGUGUAGGAGUUAUGGCCCCUGACUUAGUAAAAAAUUGGUCAUUUUAAUGUUGCGUCUCGCAUAGCUCCAAAAGUAUCUGACCUAGAGUCACCAAAGUUUACAGGAAUGUUGGUCAGCAUGUGCAGUUGUGCACUUGGGUUUCGCAUCCGGAUUCAUUCAGUCGUGUAGGAGUUAUGGCCCCUGACAUAGUUAAAAAUUGGUCAUUUUAAUGUUGGGCGCGCGUAGCUCCAAAAGUAUUUGACCUAGAGUCACCAGAGUUUACAGGAAUGUUGGUCAGCAUGUGCAGUUGUGCACCUGGGGUUUUGCGUCCAGAUUCAUUCAGUCGUGUAGGAGUUAUGGCCCAUGACUUAGUUAAAAAUUGGUCAUUUUAAUGUUGUGUCGCACGUAGCUCCAAAAGUAUUUGACCUAGAGUCACCAAAGUUUACAGGAAUGUUGGUCAGCAUGUGCAGGUGUCCUUUGUCAUGUAGUGGGGGCAUCUGUAUCCCAUGGACACAUUUCUAGUUUUUCUUUUGUUGAUCAAUAUAAGUCAACUUAUACCUAAAUGUUGAGUGAUACUCCUCAAUAAUAUUGACAGCUGUAUCAGGAGAAGUUACAUGUGUAGUCCUGAAAAAAAACACACCAAAUGUUCAAGUUGAUUGACCUUUAUUUGUAUUUUUAUUAUGCCCCCCUUCGAAGAAGGAAGGGUAUAUUGUUUUGCAGAUGUCGGUCGGUCUGUCGGUAGGUUGGUCGGUCGGUCGGUCGGAAUGUAGACCAAUCCGUUUCUGGACGAUAACUCAAGAACGCUUGGGCCUAGGAUCAUGAAAGUUGAUAGGGAGGUUGAUCAUCACCAGCAGAUGACCCCUAUUGAUUUUGAGGUCUGUAUGUCAAAGGUCAAGGUCACAGUGACCCUGAAUAGUAAAACGGUUUCCGGAUGAUAACUCAAGAAAAUUUUGGCCUAGGAUCAUGAAAGUUGAUAGGGAGGUUAGUCAUGACCAGCAGAUGACCCCUAUUGAUUUUGAGGUCAGUAUAUUAAAGGUCAAGGUCACAGUGACCCUGAACAGUAAAACGGUUUCUGGAUGAUAACUCAAGAAUGCUUAGGCCUAGGGUCACGAAAGUUGAUAGGGAGGUUAGUCAUGACCAGCAGAUGACCCCGAUUGAUUUUGAGAUGAGUAUGUCAAAGGUCAAGGUCACAGUGACCAGGAACAGUAAAAUGGUUUCCAGGCAAUACCUAAAGAGUGCUUGGGCCUUGUGUCAGGAAAAUUGAUAGUUAGGUUGGCCAUGACCAGCAGAUGACCCCUAUUGAUUUUGAGGUCAUUAGGUCAAAGGUCAAGGUCACAUUGGCCAGGAACAGUUAAACGGUUUCUGAUCUUCUUGUCCAAAACCAUAGGGACUAGGGCUUUGAUAUUUGGUAUGUCGCAGAAUCUAGUGGUCCUCUACCAAGAUUGUUCAGAUUAUUUCCCUGGGGUCAAAUAUGGCCCCGCCUAGGGGAGAACAGUAGAACUUUUGUUUACAAUGAGCAAAUGAUUUCUGUUCCUUGUGCAUUUAUUGAAUGCAUCAAGGGGGGCAUUUAGUGUUCAACGAGCUCUUGUUUUAUUUUGCAUUAAAUUGUAUAUCAUUAUCUUUUACCUAUAGCAGUAAUAAUGUCUCUAAAACUGGUUACAUUGCGUCUUGGUGUCUCAGUGAACUAAAAGGGUAGCAUCGCCCGGUAAUGUUUCUUUCUGUCGACUUGCUUGUUGAAUCUGUCAACAAUUCCAUGGUCUAUAAAUGACAUAGCUAGCAGUGCAUUGAAAAAGAUCCUGUAGACGUAAUCACUAGUGGCCACUAACUUUGUUAUCUCAUCCCUUCACGAAUCUAUACAAUAGUAGUCCAAAAACAGAUCUUAUAAUCAUCCUUGUAUUGUAUUUUGCCGAAAUGAUCCCAGAGCUUACACUUGGAUUCGACAAGUCUGUUGUGUGUUAAAAAGCUUAUGUUUCUCUUGAAUUUUAUCUUCAUGUAAGCCACACAACUGUUCCUCCAAGUAUCUUCCAUGACAUUAAUUCAGCAGCAAUUCUUUUAUGUUUCCUUACACAAUUGCUUGUUUCUGAGCAGCAUGUCCAAAGUCUUGGAUCUGUCUCUCAGUGUUUCAAUAUUGAUGAUGUUCACCUGCAUCUUCUUAAUAAUGAAAUUGUUGAGCAGAAUGGUUGUGGUGAAUAUACACCAAGAAUAUGUAUGAUUAACUGGAACCACUUGUCCUCCUUAUACAAAAACACUCCAACAACUGCAACUGAAAAAAUAGCAGCCAGAAAAGCAACUGAUCCAAAAUAUUGGAUAACACUGUUGUCCAUUUAUAUCCAAUACUGGCCACAUAGAGAUCUGAAUCCUCACGAAUGUCCUCUUUGAUCAAAUCCAACAAAUUAUCCUUCAAAUAACAAUAGAUAGGUAAGUUAAAGAAACUACCCCACUGUCCUUGAGAUUCAUCGAAGGCAUAUUUCAUGGCUGAAGUCAUGAAUAAGUCAAUGUAUUUGAAACCAUAAUCAGUUUCAUCUCUCUCCUUCAAAUGGCUCAAAUACACUAACAGAAUUAUAAGGAUGAACCACUCGUCAUUUUUUUACUACUGUAGUAGUACGUAUUUACUCUUUACUUUCGUGCAAACGAAAUAUGAGAAAAAGUCCAAGUUUUGUCUUGCACACUCUAGUUGCUCCUGUGUCAACAAGAAGUUCAAGUUAUUGUCCAACAGUACUCAGUCACAUCUAUCAUAGUCUCAAAAAUAUCUUGAAACUUUGUGUCUACUUCUUCAGUCUCCGGAACCGAAAGCAUGUGUUAUCAAUUACAACUUAACGAGUUGUGGGUGGUUAUAGAAUGCUCUUCCAUUAACUUGACUAUUCAAAGAAUAGGUAGAGCUAUUGGAUUCACCCAUGCUUCAGCGUCUGCUGAAGGGAAUGGAUUGAAACUUCACACUCUAAUUUACUGUGAUAACCUGACUUACAUUGCACAAGUUCUGUAACUCCUUUUAGCUCACCUGAGCCAAAGGCAUGUGUCAGUUUUGCACACCGAUCUUAAAACUGACUUUCAGUGAUCAUGAAUGUGACCUACUGACCUACUUUCUUGUUUUUUUUUAAGAUACAGCCUUGAAAAUUGGAUGGCAUGACAUUGUACAGUUUUGCACACUGAGGUUAAAACUGACUUUCAGUGACCAUAAAUGUGACCUACUGACCUACUUUCUUAAUAUUUUAGCAUCAGUUUGACAUUUAAAACAUGUAGCUUGUAUUAUUCAGGUGAGCGAUCCAGGGUCAUCAUGACCGUCUUGUUUACCUUUUUACCAUAGUAUGCCCCUUUGUCAACUUUUAUGUGAAUUGAGUUGACAGGGCUGUUGAAUAGUCGAACAUUGCUGUCCUCAGACUGCUCUUGUUAGUGAGGCUUGUAGCUUCAGCAUUUGUAUGCAACAAAUAUUGAUAUUUUAUUUAUUGAUUGUGUAAUUAAUUGACUAAUUAACCCAAUCAUGGCAUCAGUUGUAUUCUUAAACAUGUAAAACAACUAUACUUUUUAUAAUAUGGCAAAUGGUUGGGGAGUUAUCUGACCGAACAUGCUUUUAAAUCGAUAACACUCAUUUAGUCUAGGAACAUUUGUACACUGGUUUAGUACUGUAAGUUAUAUUCAUAAAAUUAGAUACACAGAUACACAACAAAAUAAUAUAAAAUUUAGAAUAACAGCCGGUGUAACAAAACCCGAACAUGCAUUUGUUUAUUUACAACGACCUGAUAAAAGUAAUUCACAAGAACAUAACCCACAUUUAUUAGAUACAUUUCUUCUUGAAAACCACGUGGCAGAAUUACACCAAACUUCACAGGAAUGAUCCUUGGGUGGCCACCUUUCAAAAUUGUUCAAAGAAUUGAAUUCCAUGCAGAACUCUGGUUGCCAUGGCAACCGAAAGGAAAAACUUUAAAAAUCUUCUUGUCCAAAACUACAGGGCCUAGGGCUUUCAUAUCUGGUGUGUAGCAUCAUCUAGUGGUCUGCUACCAAAAUUGUUCAAAUUAUCCCCCUAGGGUCGAUUGUGGCCCCGCCCCGGGGGUCACAUGGUUUAUAUAGACUUAUAUAGGGAAAACUUUGAAAAUCUUCUUGUACAAAACCACAUGGCCUAGGGCUUUGAUAUUAGGUAUGUAGCAUCAUCUAGUGGUCCUCUACCAAGAUUGUUCAAAUUAUCCCCCUAGGGUAAAUAUGGCCCCACCCCGGGGGUCCCAAGUUUUACAUAGACUUAUAUCGGAAAAAAAGUUUAAAAAUCUUCUUGUCUGAAAGCACAACACUUAGACCUUUGAUAUUUGGUUUGUAGUGUUGUCUUAUGGUCCUCAACCAAAAUUGUUCAAAUUGUACCCCUGGGGUGAAAUGAGGCCCUGCCCUGGGGGUUCCAAGUUUUAUAUAGACUUAUAUAGGAAAAAAACUUUAAAAAUCUUCUUGUCUGACACCGUAGGACCUAGGCUUUUGGUAUUUGGUAUAAUGCAUUGUCUAGUAGUCCUCUACCAAAAUUAUUCAAAUUAUGCCCCUGGGGUUAAAAGAGGCCCCGCCCUGGGGGCACUUAGUUAUUAUGUGAGUUAUACAGGGAAAAAUACUUAAAAAAUCACUUGAUCCUUUUUCCAAGACUGUUUAAUUAUAAUUACCUGAUGAUCCAAAGUAAUCUGAUGUCACUUGACUGUGACCUUGACCUACUGACCUACUUUCUUGUUUUUAAAGAUACAGCUUUGAAAUUUUGAUGAUAUACACAGUUUUGCACACCAAUCAUAAAACUGAAUUUCAUUGACCGUGAAUGUGACCUACUGACUUUCUUAAUAUUUUAUCAUCAGUUUGACAUUUGAAACAUGUAGCUCGUAUUACUCAGGUGAGCAAUCCAGGGUCAUCAUGACCCUCUUGUUCAUUUCCUGUCCACAUCAAACCCUUUGGUCUAACCUACUCUGUUGGCCAUUACUAAGUAUCUCGGUAUUAAAAGGCCUUUCAAAUGUACUAAUAAAUGCUUGUCCUGUCUGAACAUUUUUCUUGAAGCAAAAUUACGAUGUUGAUUCUUGAAGCAAAAUUACCAUGUUCACAGAUAUAUUUUGAAACCAUUUUGUUUCCUGUUGGUUGUACAUUUCCUGUUGGUUGUACAGAUACCAUCAGUUGAAUGACUAAUUGGUAGAUGAACAUUUCUGGUAUAGAUACUGCCAAAUGUAUCAAAAUGAGUCAUGAAUUGGUAAACUUGGAUACACACCAAGCUUUGCACUGCACUGACACAACAAACUAUCUUUUAAUUGCAAAAGCAAAUUAAUUGUGCCACUCUCGCCACCCUCGGCGAUUGAUGCAAGGUAUGCUGCAGUACCUAUUAAUCCAACCUCCAAUGCAACAUGGUAUAUCACGAAGUGAAUCCAAGUAUAUUUCAUAUCCUGUGUUAGAGAUGUGCACACCACCGCUCCUAAAGAAACCAGGAGUUUGGAUAUCGAUAAGAUAUGAAAUUUAGAAGGAGAAACUAUUUUAAUAAUUUUAUGUCCAAACUGAUUGAUCUUCUUUCCCUACUUUAAUUGCCUUUAAAUUUUCCUUCUCACUCUUACAGCCCCAAUCAAGUCUUCAUAAGAUAUCAGUCCACACAAAGAUAGAAUACGGAGAAGUGUUUUGAGUGUAUUCUAAUUUCCUGUACCAGUUUAAAAAUGUAUUUUAAUGUGUGGGUCUUGAUAUCGUUAGCUACCUAAAUGAAAUAAUGAAAGUACCUUCAAUGGAGAGGUAAAAAGUGCUGGCAACUGCAUAGUAUAUAUAUUACAGUGAAUAAAGUCAGCCAAUCCCAGUCUGAUCCCCCAACAUGUGAUGGUGUAUCCUUCUAGAUGCUUUAAAUUGAGGAUUCCCCUAACUUCAGCUCUCAUGCCAGCCCAGUAUGGUACUGAAUCACCUGUUUUAGCCUGAUAUCUCUAUUGUCAGCUGAAUUAUCAUUGUUGAAUGAUUGUCUCUGGCGCUUGUUGCUUCUCUCCUGCUGAGGGUGUUUAAACUGAAUUACCAUCUACCACAAUUUCAAACACUGAAACAAUACAACCUUUUGGGAAACUGUCAAAAUCCCAAAUGUAUGACAUGUCGUUUUAGCUCACCUGUCACGUAGUGACACUGUGACAGGGUGAGCUUUUUUGAUCGCCUUCGUCCGUCGUCCGUCCACAAUUUCCUUGUGAACACAAUAGAGACCACAUUUUGUAUUUGAUUUUAAUCAGACUUGCACACAACUUGUAUGGGCAUAAUAUCUCGGUUCCUUUCGAAAACUGGCCAGAUCCCAUCAUGGGUUCCAGAGUUAUGGCCCCUUAAAGGGCCAAAAUUUGCUAUGUUUGGCUUGUGAACACGAUAGAGACAACAUUUUGCAAUCAACUUUAAUAAAACUUGCACACAACUUGUAUUCUUUGUCACAAGAGGGCCAUAACUGAGCUAAAGUCCUUGUCCUAGUUAUGUAGUCUUGCCUACAUAUGUGUAUUAUGACGGUAAACAAGUGGUAAAAGCUUCAAAGCCAUAUGACAGACAUGUUAGGCAAAAUAUAGACUGGUAUGAAAAAUUUAACUGAUUUUCAAGUCCAAAAAGGACCAUAAUUCAGCCAGAAUAGUUGACAGAGAUAUGAAGUGUUACCUACAACUUCAUUAUGGAGAUCAUGAUGAUAAGCAAGUGCUCAAAGUUUCAAAGCCACAUGUCAAACAAUUUUGAUACAACGUUGUAUGAAAACAGAACCAAUUUCCAAGUCCAAAUACUAAAAGGGCCAUAAUUCAGCCAAAAUACUUGACAGAGUUAUGUUCUCUUGCCUACAGAUGGAAAUCAUGAUGAUAAGCAAGUGUUCAAAGUUUCAAAGCCACACAAGCCUUAAGUUUCGACAAAACAUGGACUUGUACAAAAACUGAAUCAAUUUCUAAGUCCAAAAAGACCAUAAUUCAGCCAAAAUACUUGACAGAGUUAUGUACUCUUGCCUACAGAUAGAGACUGUUAAGAUAAACAAGUGAUAUAAACGUUCCACCACUCUAUAUCAAACAGUUUGCACAAAAUAUGAACUGGUAUGAAAAACUUAACCAAGAUUUGUAAGUUAAAAGGGACCAUAAUUCAGCCAAAAUCCUUGAUGGAGUUAUGUACUCUUGCCUAAAACUAGACAUGGUGAUGGUACACAAGUGUUGAAACUUUCAAAGCAUUAUAUCAAAAGGUUUUGUCAAAAAUGUGGACUUGUACGAAAAAGAUUAACCAAGGUGUGAUGCCGAAGCUGAUGCCAACGCCGUGUUGAGUAGGAUAGCUCUACUUAUUCUUCAAAUAGUCGAGCUACAGAGUAGACCAAACAAAAAAUUGACCAAGAAAUACUGUACAAAUUUAAAAAGGGCCACAUUUCUGACAGAAUACAAGUGGUAGUCAUGGCUCGUGACCAGUAUUUAGUCAACUUAUGAUGACAGACAAGUAUAUAAAGUUUCAAGCUAUAGCUGUUAAAGUAUGCAACAGAUUUGACCAAGAAAUUCCAAUUUUCUAGGUAAAAUUCUGCCAAAAAAGUGACAGAAGUGGGAAUUAGGACCCUUGGUGAUGUAAUGAUGAUAAACAGGUGUACUAAGUUUCAAAGCUAUAAUUCUAAUAGUUUCUAAGUAGAAGGAAAGAGGAACGUAAACAAAAAAUGUUAACCAAGACAACAGCUGACAAAGUUCAACAAAAUGAUGACAAUACCUUCUAGAUUUAAAAAUGAAUCAGAUGUGCUGAAAAGAAUUCAGAAAAGUCUUUUUAAUUAUACUAUCAAACUAGGUACAAUGUAAAUUCUGAAAUCUCCUGGACUUUCAACUGAAUUCUCCUGUAUAGAUGCCCAGGAAGUUUAAUUGGCAUGUAUGCAUUGUUAUGAUAUAUUUGUAUCUGAGUCAUUUUUGCCCUAUGUUUGCUGUAAAUCAUCCAAAGUCAACCAACAGUUAGUUUGCAGAAUUCAGAACUUGCUAUUUGCUUCAUAUGUCUUUUCAUUUUACAAAUUUGAUGUCUAAAUCUCCACUUAUAUAUAUUUCCCAAGGAUUUCUUUGAUGCCAUGGUUCCAGCUCAAGUAUUAUUUCAACAGAUCAGAACUGCCUGAAUGUUAUGGUUUCUACAUAUUUGAGGUACUUUGGUAAUGGCAGCUCACUGAAAUGAGACAAAUUAUCAACAUUUUAAGAUCAAGUAGGAAUAUUAUAAAAACAAGUUAAUUUUAAAUACUAAAAGCAGGAAUGAUGUCAUAUUGUAUGACUUAUGCCCAUUGAGAAUGUUUCAUAGAAUGAAUUAAAAAAAGUUCAAAAAAGGCAUAACUGAAUAAAGUAUACCAGUUGCAAGUUUCAUUUGAAUUUAAUGAAAACUGUAGGUUGAAUAUAGUCCAAAAUGAACUGAUAUAGCUGUAAUAAUGUUAAGUCCAAAAAAGGGACUUAUCUAAAAGUAGAAGCAGACAAUAAGCACAUGCCAACUUCAUACUGAUGACGUAUUCCAUGCAAUAAUGGAUCAUACCAAAGUCUAAACAUGCUUUUUUAAACAACAAUACACUAAAUUGUGGGUGAAACAGAAGUUUGUUUUAAACACAUUUUUCAACAAUACACAGCUUGAAGGUACAUGUAUAUGACUUACAUUUGUACAUGUAUAUAUUAGCCGGGCAGGUGCAAAAUGAUAACAGCACAUUUUAUGUGAAAGAUAACUUCCUCUUAUACAUGAUCAUAAAAUCAAGACUAAAGUCAUAUAAUGUCUUUGGCUUAUCACACCACAGAUAACAAACAAAGUUUCCUUUUUGUUAAUAAUCAACAUUGGUAAGUGGCCUCUGUGGGCGAGUGGUUAAGGUCGCUGACUUCAAACCACUUGCCCCUGAUCAAUAUGGGUUUGAGCCUCGCUCAGGGUGUUGAAUUCCUCAUGUGAGGAAGUCAUCCAGCUGGCUUAUGGAAGGCCGGUGGUUCUACCCAGAUGCCUGCCCAUGAUGAAGUAAUGCACAGAGGGGCACCUGGGAUCUGCCUUCACCUUCAAAGCUGGAAAAUCGCCAUAUGACUUAAAACGGUGUCGAUGGGGCGUUUAAACCCCCCCCCCCCCCCCCCCCCACCCCUCCAAAUAAAAAAAAUAAUAUCAACUGUGGUAGUUGUCAGAAGAUUGGAGGAAGUUGUAGGGCUUCAGUAAAGGAAUAGAAACUCAUCCCUCUCUUGCACCACCAGGCAACUGUGAUAUUGUGCAAUUUAAGGUUCCUGUUUCCAAUGUCAAGUGGCUUGCAGCCAGUCCAGUAGAGAAUGAGUCUGAGUUUACAUUUCAUAAUUUUUGCUGGUUUUACACCUAAAUGUUUUGCAGCCAGUCCAGAAGAGAAUGAGUCCAAGUUUAUAUUUCAUACUUAUUGCUGGUUUUACACCUAAAUGUUUUGCAGUUUUUUCUCUAAAUGAUUUUGAUUGAGUGUUAUCUAAGUUGGAAAGCAUUCGUUUGUUGUAUUUUUCUUUUUCCAACCCAGUGUUGUAGCAGCAGUCUUGGUCUACACACACUGCGUCUAGUUCAUUAACAGGAGGUCCAUUAUCCAAAGGAGAACAGGGCCCACAAUAAUUAUAGGCUAGGAGUGUUAUUUCUUUCUCAAAGGUUGGAAAGAUAACCUUGUUGUAUGAAUGUCAGUUGCACAUCCAGUGCGUUACACAAACGUUGUUUUGAUGUUGCCACAGGAUGCACACUGGGCUUUUAACAUAAGUUUACCAUUUUUUAUUGUAACAUAUUGAGGAUUUAUAGUAUCAGUAAAUUUCUGUUUUUUUACACAAUAUAUUUUAUAAUCCAUUAUGUAGUAUUUUUAUAUUUUUAAAAACUAAAAAAAUGUCUGACUUCAACUCGUCAUCAUCAUCUGCCCCUCUGCUACCACAGACUCCAGCCUUUUAAUGUCCUCUUCGGCCAGCUGUAUUUGAGCUUCUGUGGUUUCUUAGUCCUUCGUUACUUUUUUCAGCCUCUCAUUUUUUCUCCGUUUCCGGACAAGUCUUAAUUGUUUGUUCUGUUUUCUGACUAGUUCUAGACGUGCUUUGCCUAGCAUAUAGAAACACUAGUUUCUUCAGCCUCUUUCUCCAGAAAUGAGAAAAUUCCUUUGUUAGGUCUAUUACAUCCAUAUUGCCACACAAUUAUAAUCCUGUCAUAUUGAGAGAAGCUUGUCCUGGUGUGGCAUCUAGUGUUGCUUAUAUACUGUUAUUUUGCAACCCACACAUCCAGUUAUGACUGUGUAUAUUCGAGCACAUUCUGGAAGGCUGAUGAAAUGUUCAGCUGUAUUUUCAUUAUGGCAUUCCAAAGCAUGAUGAAAUUUCACAUUUGUAAGCGUGUCUUAAAUUCAGAUCCAAGACCAGAAUUCCUUUCCAUGACAAGUUUCUUGUGGAGGAAAAAGUUGUCCUGUUAAAAAUGUUUUUCCAAUAAACUAAAUCUCACGGUAGAAACAUUAACUCUUUCACUCAAUAAGAAACAAAUGUGGUUUAACCCUACACUACAAUAAAAAGAUAAACCUCAGCAUAUUGGUACCUUCAAUUUUUGGGUGUAUUUGACAUACCUGUACCUUGUAAGAUUUUUUUUUUGAAUUUCUUCCCUUUGUUAUUCCUGUCCUUCAACAGUCAAGUUCUUUAAAUCUUGCUCCCGUCCUCUGAUGUAACUCUUCGGGCAUAUAUUGCCCCGUAUGGCGGAGCUCUUGUUACAAGGCUCCAUAAUAUUCAACAGUUGAACUUGAAAUAUACCCAGUAUGUAAAAAAGAGAAAAAGAAUCAUCAAAUGAUUGCUUGACCACAGACAGACCAUAGUGAUAAAUGAAGUGACAAAGUCAAUAAUCUACUUUCACUUACAAAAGUUAAAAUACCAGAGAUAUACUUCUGACUUUAUUAUGUCAGAGAUUAAUAUUACCAAAAAUAUUCUACCUUUAACCAACUGUUACUGUACUCAAAACUGAUACCAAAAAUUUACUAAAAAUGCGGUAAUUAUAGCAUUUCUUGAAAACACUAAUUUACAAUUAACAGAUUAAUGUCAUACAAAAAAAAAAAUCAGAAAAAAGCAGUGAGUAAAAAUUACACUUAAAAUUAAAAACAGACCCUCCAAGUCCUGUAAUGUUGGAAUAGUACUGUCUACGUCUAAGUUCUCUGACUAUGCCUAUGCCUCAGUUUCAGUCUGUUCAUUAGUCUGUGUCUGAGCCGUGUGACUGACACGAAGCUCGUCUGACAAAGUACAUGUUGUACUUAAAGUCAGUGUGUGUCCUUCUGGCAGUGUGACCUUUUCCAAAGGUAAAGUCCAGUCUUGUGCCUUGAAGGACACGUUCAAAUCAUCUGUUGUUACAAAUAAUUGGUGUUUCUUUUCUCAGUUUGAAUAUUUUCUUAUGAAUAAAUAAAACGCAAUUUAAUAUUAUAUUGUAGCUGUAAUUCAUGGAGGUAGCUUUCAGUCAGAAUUGUCAGGAUGUCUUUGUCGCAAAGUUUGUAUCAGUAAAUCAAUAUGUGUUGCAAAGUCUUCAAUACUCCUGAAAAAAAGAUAAGCAAAAUAAAAAGAAUAAUCAUUUCCUAAUUAUAGAAAAAAUGCCUAAACAUUAAUAUGCACACAUAUUUUUAUAUUUAAUAAACAAAGAAUACAUAAACAAAAGUUACAUUAAAUUUUGUUAGUUUUCAUGUCUCCCACAUGUAGUGGCAGUGACAUAAUGACCUGUUGCUGUCUGUUUGUCUGUCAGUGUAUGUCACAAAGUUUGACCACACAACUUAUUCGACAUCACUGGAUGGACUUACGAGUGAUCAUUUAAAAGCCUGGUUUUGCAUGUUAUCGGCAUUUUCUGGUUCAGUGAUUUUCAGUAGAGUUAUGGCCCUUGAAUUAUCAAAUUUUAUAAUGUUUUGCCACUGUUUUAUAUCUUUGGGCAGAAAUCCAUCAAACCAAACAGGAGUAAACAGUUCCAAGUCUCAUUGUGCAUAUUUUUGGUUAAACUUUAUAUAUAUCAUCAACAUGAAGUGGACAUAUGCAUUUUACUCAUCUAAAUAUGUAAGGAAUAGCAGUUUUUGAACAUGGAAAUAUUAAAAGUAUAUCUUGUAGUAGAUUUUACUUAUGACUCUAUCAAGCAUUUUCAGGUGGCAUACGUCAAAGAGCUUUGACAGCAUUCUUGCUAAAUGCUACCCUUCUAAAUUUCUAUAAUGAACUUGUCCAUCUUUCAAUUUGGACAGUACCAUUAACUGUUAAAAGGGGUGCAAACCAGAAAGAUGCUGAAUGGAGAACAGUGCGGAUCUUGAUCAGACUGCACCAAGAUCUGCAUGGACAUGCAGGCUGAUCAUGCCCUACACUGGUCACAAAGGCAGAAUCAGUCAUGUCCAUGCUGGAUAUUGGAUACAGUGCUCUUUCUUCAAGUUUGCUCCUGAAACAUUGGCCCUGUGAUGAGGUAAAACAACCUGCUCAGUAAGUUAGCAUUAUAGUCAAAUGGUUUGGAAACAUGCUCAUUUAGUGGUUAUUUUAAAGGCAUUAGAAUUCAACUUAGGAAAUCUCUCACAAAAGAUCUGUGUUGUUUUUAGCUCACCUGUCACAAAGUGACAAGGUGAGCUUUUGUGACCGCUUGAUGUUCGUCGUCUGUCGUGUGUCAACAAUUUCUAAAGAAAUCUUCUUCUUCAAAACCACAGGGCAGAAUUACACCAAACUUCACGGGAAUGAUCCUUGGUUGGCCCCCUUUCAAAAUUGUUCAAAGAAUUGAAUUCCAUGCAGAACUCUGGUUGCCAUGGCAACUGAAAGGAAAAACUUUAAAAAUCUUCUUCUCAAAAACCAGAAGCCCUAGAGCUUAGAUAUUUGGUGUGAAGCAUUGCCUAGUGGACCUCUACCAAAUUUGUUCAAACAGUGACCCUGGGGUCAAAAUUGACCCUGCCCCAGGGGUCACUUGAUUUUACAUAGGAAAAUCUUUAAAAAAUCUUCUUCUCAAAAACCAGAAGCCCUAGAGCUAAGAUAUUUGACAUGUAGCAUUGCCUAAUGGACCUCUACAAAAUUUAUUCAAAUCAUGACCCUUGACCCUACCCCAGGGGUCACUUGAUUUUACAUAGGAAAAUCUUCAAAAAUUGUUUAAAAAUAAAGUAGAAGGCCUCGAGCUUAGAUAUUUCACAUGUAGCAUUGCCUAGUGGACCUCUACAAAUUUUUUUCAAAUCAUGACCCCCGGGGUCAAAAUUGACCCUGCCCCAGGGGUCACUUGAUUUUAAAUAGGAAAGUCUUAAAAAAUCUUCUUCUCAAAAACCAGAAGCCUUGAGCUUAGAUAUUUGAUAUGUAGCAUUGCCUAGUGGACCUCUAUUAAAAUUGUUCAAAUCAUGACCCCAGGGUCAAAAUUGACCCCACCCUAGGGGUCACUUGAUUUUACAUCUGAAAAUCUUCAAAAUUUUCUAAAAAUAAACCAGAAGGCCUAGAGCUUAGAUAUUUCCCAUAUAGCAUUGCCUAGUGGACCUCUACAACUUUUGUUUAAAUCAUGACACCUGGAUCAAAAUUGACCCCGCCCCAGGGGUCAUUUGAUUUUACAUAGGAAAAUCUUCAAAAUUUGUUUAAAAAAAAUCAGAAGGCCUAGAUCUUAGAUAUUUGACAUGUAGCAUUGCCUAGAAGACUUCUACAAAAUUUGUUCAAAUCAUGAUCCCUGGGGUCAAAUUGACCCAGCCCCAGGGGUUACUUGAUUGUACAUAGGGAAAUCUUCAUAUAUUUGCUAAAAAUAAACCAGAAGGCCUAGAUCUUAGAUGUUUAAUAUUUAACAUUGCCUAGUAGACUUGUAAAAACUUUGUUCAAAUCAUGACCCCUGGGUAAAAUUGGCCCCGCCCAAGGGGUUACUUGAUUGUACAUUGGAAAAUCUUCCCAAAAAAUACUAAAAUUCAUCAGUUUGACAUUUGAAACAUGUAGCUCAUAUUUCUCAGGUGAGUGAUCCAGGGUCAUCAUGACCCUCUUGUUCUGUUAAAGUCGCAGUUUAUUACAUGUUUUUCAAAAUAUCUUACAUUUUCCCAGUGUAAAAUAUCAAACAUCUUUCACUCAUGGGUGCUUCACCACUGUGAAAAUAUUGCAACUUGUGUUUAUGCAGUGAAAAAUAUUUUGAUGUUACACUGAAGCAUACUCUAUAUAUUACAUAAUGACAUGCAAUAUUAAGCUUCCAUGACUCUGGUAUGCUAUUUCACAGUUAUGCCCCUUUUAUGGUUCCCUACUGGUAUAAUGCCCUCUGUCAGUCUGUCCAUCCAUCUGUCCGCCUGCUCAAAAAUAUUCAAGCUAGGUUCAUAAAACUUUGUAUGUGAAUAGAGUGCAAUAUUGUAGAUUAUGCAAGCACAUGACUUGUAGGUCAAAGGUCAAGUUCUUAAAUGGAGGUCAAGUAAAAAUUGUUUCUGCUCAAUAACUUCUAUGUGCAUUGAUGGAUUAUCUUAGUGCUACACAAACAUUCUCGAUGAUGAGACAGUGUGUCAAUACAUGAUCAUUGUUAGUUGGUUAAAGGUCAAGGCCACCAGUAGGGAACUUCUGUAUUUCCGCUGCAAUACUUGGCCACUUGUUUUUACCUGGUAUUCAGUCAGUUUUAUUUUUUGUAACAAAUUCUUUAAUAGUCGGACAUUGCUGUCCUCUUUGUUGAUGAGUACUUUUUUAUUUCAAAUAAUCUGAAGCCUGUUUUACAUCAAACUAUAAUUACAAGUCUUUGGCCGCAGUUCUAGAUUAACAUAUAGACUGGUAAAAAUUCAUUUCUUUACAAGUUUUAUAUAAGAAACAGCAUUUUAUAGAAGAAUGAAAGAUAGGUCCUCUGACUUGAGUGUAUGCAUUAAAACAUAAAAAACAUUUAAUCAGUGUUGCUCAACAAAACUGCUUAAUCUGUUUACACAUUCCAGCAUUGCAUUUUUAGAACAAAUGGUCUAGUACAGUGAUUUUGCUGUUAUUACACACAAUGACACAGUAUAAACAAACUGAAAUGGCACAUAUUGAUUUUGAAUUUCUUUUUCAAAUAGAACACCUUCCCAUUACAUAUAUAUUUUCCUCAGAAAAAAAUAGUUUGUAGAUGUAACAUUGUACUUUUCAUCUUCUGUAACAUAGAUAUAAAUUGUUAAGGAAAGUUUUGGAGUAGUCAUUUUUAAGGUAGUUGUUUAACAUAUGAUUGCGAAAUUUAGUUGAUCAGAACUCGAGGAACCGUUAACCGUUGUUAAACUGAAUUUGGUGACCAGAAAAUUCCAACAUUUGAUACCACAGCUCAAGACGGGGUGGGGGUGGGGGGGGGGGGGUGAAGGCUCAGACAAUUUUAUUCCAUACAGUUACCUCUGCCUUGUUAUAAAUGUGUAUUGUUCACAAUUUUGUAUUAUGUAUUGUAUCUUAUCAAGCAGUUUGAUAGCUUCUACAUGUACUUUGUUAGAUUAGCUUAUUUUUCUGUAAGUGUAUUCAGAAUGAUGUCCCUGAUAAGUUUGGGUUCACACAUGUUUACAUCUAAAGAAUCCAGAGAAUUGUCCAUGCUGUGUACUAUAACAACAACACCAAAUUCAUCGUAUUUUCGAACGAUAUUACAAAUGUAUUUGUAAAUGAAUUUCAGAAAGGCUAUUUUGAAUCAUUUAGGAUAGCAAGUCAGUUGAGCACGUGGACAUAAAACAUGUUUAUUAUUUAAAUCUUGAUAUAGAUGAACAUGUCAACCUGUCAGGAAAUGAAAUGUGAAUAUUUGUCUGAUAAGAAAUUGGUUCACUGACUUCAAAUUUACAUGUUAUUAAUAAUAUUGAUCUGUUUAAUUGACAUAUAAUCUUGGAUAUUUAGUAGAUGUUAUUUCAAUAAAUAAUGACUCGUGUAAUAAAGAAUGAAUAACAUGCCAUGCUUAAAUUGUUGAAUAAAAUUAUGAUAUAAAUAC